UAGGGAAUCUUCCACAAUGGGCGCAAGCCUGAUGGAGCAACACCGCGUGAGUGAAGAAGGGUUUCGGCUCGUAAAGCUCUGUUGUUAGAGAAGAACACGAGUGAGAGUAACUGUUCAUUCGAUGACGGUAUCUAACCAGCAAGUCACGGCUAACUACGUACCAG
rnacentral:rRNA from 1 species